CUCCUCAGUGAUGAGACCCAUACCGCCCCAGUCUGAUACCUGUGACUGAGUGGUCCCUUCUGAGUGUAG
rnacentral:snoRNA from 1 species